rnacentral:rRNA from 1 species
AGAGUGAACGCUGGCGGUAGGCCUAACACAUGCAAGUCGAACGGCAGCACAGUGGUAGCAAUACCAUGGGUGGCGAGUGGCGGACGGGUGAGGAAUACAUCGGAAUCUACCUUUUCGUGGGGGAUAACGUAGGGAAACUUACGCUAAUACCGCAUACGCCCUUCGGGGGAAAGCCGGGGAUCGCAAGACCUGGCGCGGAUAGAUGAGCCGAUGUCGGAUUAGCUAGUUGGUGAGGUAAUGGCUCACCAAGGCGACGAUCCGUAGCUGGUCUGAGAGGAUGAUCAGCCACACGUGGAACUGAGACACGGUCCAGACUCCUAGGGAG